rnacentral:rRNA from 1 species
CGCGCAGGCGGGUUGGCAAGUCAGAGGUGAAAUCCUACAGCUUAACUGUAGAACUGCCUUUGAUACUGCUAAUCUUGAGUAUGGAAGAGAGAGACGGAAUUCCAGGUGUAGUGGUGAAAUACGUAGAUAUCUGGAAGAACACCAGUUGCGAAGGCGGUCUCUUGGUCCAAUACUGACGCUGAGGCGCGAAAGCGUGGGUAGCAAACAGGAUUAGAUACCCUGGUAGUCC